CCUGGAUCGAGCACGAAUCCUUGAGUUGACAAGAAGCAGCUGACCAAGUGACGACGUACGUUGAAUUUAACAGCCUCGCACAAGCAUGGACUCCGAGAAGAUGCAGAUGGCCUCUCGCCCGGCGACUGCGUACCCGGAGGCUGCCUGGCUGGUGAGCGCUUGGACCCUCUCCACCGCCUGCCUCUUCCUCCUCACUUCCGCACUAGUCGAAACUCUCGACCACUUCGACGUCGAUAUCCCCUGCAGCCCGUCCUGGUGGUCGGUUUUGCGGUGCGUCCAGCUGACGGACGCGGGAAGCGCCAUGCGGAUCGGGAUGCUCUGGCGUGCCGCGCCACA